AUUGAACGCUGGCGGCAGGCCUAACACAUGCAAGUCGAGCGAGCGGCGGACGGGUGAGUAAUGUAUGGGGAUCUGCCCGAUAGAGGGGGAUAACUACUGGAAACGGUAGCUAAUACCGCAUACUAUCGGAUGCACCCAGAUGGGAUUAGCUAGUAGGUGGGGUAAAGGCUCACCUAGGCUACGAUCUCUAUCUGGUCUGAGAGGAUGAUAAGCCACACUGGGACUGAGACACGGCCCAGAGGCCGACGGGAGGUAGCAGUGGGUAAUAUUGCACAAUGGGCGCAAGCCUGAUGCAGCCAUGCCGCGUGUAUGAAGAAGGCCUUAGGGUUGUAAAGUACGUUCAGCGGGGAGGCGUUACCCGCAGAAGAAGCACCGGCUAACUCCAUGGCAGCCGCCGCGGUAAUAC
rnacentral:rRNA from 1 species